rnacentral:lncRNA from 1 species
GGGUGGCCUCUCAAAUCUCCCAAGGGCCAAAAGCUUAGGCAGCAUUAGGAAUAUCACUAAACAUGCUAACCAUGUAGUAAAUUACGGUAAUGCCCUCGAUUAGUUUUAGUGGUUGGAAUGUAAUAACAUCGACAACUAAGCCGUGUUAUGUUUUCACGUCGUCUAACGAGGAUUGGGUUGAUUGGAUCCAAAUCAGAUAAACACUUCCUUUUUUCUUCUUCUUUUGCUGCUUUUUUCCUGUUGAUAUCUUCGCCUUUUUAUUUUAAUAUAAAACAAUUUAUUUUACAGCGACCUUCCACUCGACAGGGGCCAAGCGCAUAGGUGUGACGAGACGUGUAAAUCAGAGCUGUGAGUUCAGACAUUUGUGUUCGAAAAAUAUCUAAACUUUUGUAAAGGAGGGCACGUGGAAGAUGAGUGGGAUCUACAUGGAUGUCUGUAAAUAAGCGAGUAAGAAUUCGACAUGUCAUCAGACAUUGUCUUAGAGAGUGUGGGACCCGAAGCGACUUUAUCUUGGUUCCUUGGUUCAGAAUGUUUCCUGAAUGGAUAAGUUUUUCGGGGGAGAGAUGCUAUUUUAUCAUUACUGCUAUUCCAUUUACGUCGGUACAAUCUAACCAAUGAUCUAUCGACACGUUUUGGGAAGACAACACC